UUAACUAAAACCAAAAAUAUACGAGGUAAAUUAUUGUUAAUAAUUUUAUUGAAUUUAAUAAUUCUAGUUAAU
rnacentral:tRNA from 1 species